UACAGAGGGUGCGAGCGUUGUUCGGAAUUAUUGGGCGUAAAGGGCGCGUAGGCGGUGCCACAAGUCACCUGUGAAAUCCCCGGGCUUAACCUGGGAACUGCAUUUGUGACUGCAUGGCUAGAGUUUGGCAGAGGGGGGUAGAAUUCCACGUGUAGCAGUGAAAUGCGUAGAUAUGUGGAGGAACACCGAUGGCGAAGGCAGCCCCCUGGGUCAAGACUGACGCUCAUGCACGAAAGCGUGGGGAGCAAACAGG
rnacentral:rRNA from 1 species